AGGUGGAGUUAAGAGGAUUUGCUGAUGGAUUGGAGGCUUGGAGCGGAAGAAAGAGGUUACAUGCAUUCACUCAUUGGACCCUCACGAAAACCCAGUGAGAUGCGAACCCUCCUGUGAUCCUGGCAAUUGCAUCAGAAGAUGAGGAGGAAAUACACUGUGAACCUAAGGAAAGAGCAGCAGCGCCGGCAAAAGGCCACGGCCGUGCAGGAGCUCCUGGCCCCAUGGACAAAGAGGACCCGGAGGGUGCUGGGCUGAAGCUCAGGCAGCUUGGGGACGGGCAGCAGCCCCACUCCCACGCCACUUUGAGCCCGUUGCGGCUGCAGGAGCAGGAGGGCGUUUUACAAUGAAUUCCCCACUUGCACAUGUUGCCACAGUAUCAUUUAUCAGGAAUCUGGAGUUUUUGAUGCCCUUUAAAUUUAGUGUGGAGGAAAAAAACAUCCCUAAAGCAAGGCCUCAAUCUGAAUAUUACAGAACAAUGUACUGGGGGAGAGGUGUUGUGGAAUAGGUAUGUAUGUAUGUAAGUAAACUCUACUCCCAACUUGGGGCUUAAGCUCAUGAAUCCUGGAUCAAGAGUCACAUGCUUGG